rnacentral:rRNA from 1 species
AUUGAACGCUGGCGGCAUGCCUUACACAUGCAAGUCGAACGGCAGCACGGACUUCGGUCUGGUGGCGGGUGGCGAACGGGUGAGUAAUGUAUCGGAACGUACCCUUCAGUGGGGGAUAACUAUCCGAAAGGAUAGCUAAUACCGCAUAUUCUCUGAGGAGGAAAGCGGGGGAUCGCAAGACCUCGCGCUGAUGGAGCGGCCGAUAUCAGAUUAGCUAGUUGGUGGGGUAAAGGCCUACCAAGGCGACGAUCUGUAGCGGGUCUGAGAGGAUGAGACGCCACACUGGGAGUGCGACACGGGCGAGACUCCUGCGGGAGGCGGCAGUGGGGAAUUAUGGACAAUGGGGGCAACCCUGAUCCAGCCAUGCCGCGGGAGUGAAGAAGGCCUUCGGGUUGUAAAGCUCUUUCGGCCGGGAAGAAAUCGCGUGAGUUAAUACCUUGCGUGGAUGACGGUACCGGAAUAAGAAGCACCGGCUAACUACGUGCCAGCAGCCGCCGUAACAC